CGCGUAGGCGGCAAGGCAAGUCAGAUGUGAAAUCCCCGGGCUCAACCUGGGAAUUGCAUCUGAAACUGCAGUGCUUGAGUCCUGGAGGGGAUAGUGGAACUCCCAGUGUAGCGGUGAAAUGCGUAGAUAUUGGGAGGAACACCUGCGGCGAAGGCGGCUAUCUGGACAGUGACUGACGCUGAUGCGCGAAAGCCAGGGGAGCGAACG
rnacentral:rRNA from 1 species